rnacentral:rRNA from 1 species
UACGGGGGGGGUAAGCGUUGUUCGGAAUUACUGGGCGUAAAGGGCUCGUAGGCGGCCAACUAAGUCAUACGUGAAAUCCCUCAGCUUAACUGGGGAACUGCGUGUGAUACUGGAUGGCUUGGAUUUGGGAGAGGGAUGCGGAAUUCCAGGUGUAGCGGUGAAAUUCGUAGAUAUUAGGAAGAACACCAGUGGCGAAGGCGGCUCACUGGUCCGGUACUGACGCUGAGGUGCGAAAGCGUGGGGAGCAAACAGG